rnacentral:lncRNA from 1 species
GACCGCAGUGGCUUCCAGCGUGGAGACGACAUGGCACCAGCAGCGCAGCCGCCCUACGGAGGACGCGGCCGUGGUGGUGGAGCAGCUGCUGCUGCAGGUCUUCCUUCUGGAGGCUUCGGUGCUGAUGAGGAAGAGACGGCAAGAAGAGUUGGUGUUCCUCCAGCUGGAGACCUCUUCACUGGCAGGCUGGGAGGACGUUCUAGAUGGGGAUCUCGCCCUCUGCAGCCAGACAUGGAAGAAUAUCUGCCGAACAAACGAGCCCGCUUCUAACGAGGAUAACAUACAUACAAAACUCGUGGAUCUUGUUCCUGACUGACCAGAAAAUUCCCGUGACAUGCAGGACUUUGUAUAUUCAUUUUUGCGAAGUUCAUGGAAACUUAAUGAAAAUAUGAGUUUAUGUUCACGGCGUUGUGUGUUCGUACCGAUGGUUGCGUUGCUGCAGCUGCUUCUCGUGAAGCUUUAAAAUAAUGAGUAGCUGCUUCCAUCCGUAAUUGAUACUUACGCCUGCCGAUUUACUGCUAAAUUCAAUACAGUGCAAAUGUGGGAAGUCACAAGUCUCUAUCUUGCAUCAAGUAGCUAUUAGUUUCAACUUAUGGUGAAGUGUUGAACGUCGUCGUAUUAAUGGCAAGCAGCUUGCUUUUAUUGCAAAUAAAUAUAUUUUCGCGUUCGUAUAUUUGGCAACAAAUGGCUACUACCUCCUAGCAUGCACUCAAAACUUUCAGUAUAAUACUUGAUUGAGAAACGUUUGUCGAAACACUAGAAUUGUAUCAUCACUCUUUUGACCUAAACAAUAAUAUGCUAUUUUUGGAUCCAAGUUGAAUGCGGUAAAACAAUAAAAUAUUAUUAGAUUCUUCAUGAAAUAAUGUAAUUUUCGACUCGCCUACGCCUAGCAAAAUGUAGCUUCAUCUUAAUUUUGACUGGCGGUAGUUUCAGCUAAAUAUUGUACAUUGUUUUCUUUGACAGCCAUACCUGAGCCAUCGGCUUCCCUUCGUUGAGUGACAACUGUUUCUUGUGGUUAUUUGGUUACGUAUUUUGUCGCUAAGGAUAUGCACACAAAAUUGUUUAUGAUUUCAACACAUAGAAGAAAGAUGAGGCUCCCUAAGGUAUUAAGUGUAACCGCUCUAAGAAACCUAUUGAUGUAUUUUCUUAUGAUAGCUCUAGUAAAGACUAAUAAAGUCACGUAUCUCUUGUCAUUACAUCUCUAAGCUGUGCUUAUGAAGGCACAUUGAGCCAGAAUGAGUUGUACUUUCCCAUUACUGUAUUAGCAGGCCGGGCCAUUGCGAUCACAACUUGCUCAACUGCGGUGAAUUUCUGACAGUUGACUUCAAUUACAGUUCUGCCUAUUCUGAAUUAGCGUCGUGACAUUCAUAUGUUCUAAACUGAGUUAUCACUUUCGAAUACUAGCAUGAAAGUAGUUUGAGUAGUGUGAGAUUGCUAAGUAUGAACUUUAUAUUGCUCAGUUGGGGCAAUUCAAAAGCAAACCGCAUUAUCGAAUAUUUAUAACAAAUUCGUACAGUUUCUAAUGAGAGCAAACGAGAAAUCAUGGUCCAUGCAUGCUAGCAUCUGCAACUGGAAGCCUCAAGUACUUGGAUGAUUCUUUUGCAUUUCUACUUGAAGACGUUCUUGAAUAGUUGAAUAUUCAUCAUUUAUUCAUGUCCUAGAAUUAAGCUACUUGAUUCUAAUGAAGAAAAUCCUUGAUAUUAAAUUUUAAAACCGAAAAG